rnacentral:lncRNA from 1 species
ACAAAGCAUGGCCGGUUUCAUGAAAGGUUAAGGAACCAACCUGGUUCCUUGUGUAAGCGAUUCUUUAAAACCUUCUUGAUAUUGAGCUUGUGGUGUGACUGUGCCUGGUUAUUGUGAUGUGUAUUGAUUGAAAAACCUGAGGAUAAUGUGUGAUUGCAAAAUAAAAUUAGUUGAAUCUGUCCCAGGAUGCUUUAAAGGCUUGUUUAGUGUUUAAAGAGUAAAAUGCUUGCUCCUGUUAAGUAAUGAGUUUGCUAAAUGUGAAAUGAUAUUGUUUGAAGCUCAUGAACUGAAAACAGAUUGAAAGUAAUGCAUUGUCUGAUGN